UACGUAGGAGGCAAGCGUUGUCCGGAAUCACUGGGCGUAAAGCGCGUGUAGGUGGUGGGACAAGUCUGCUGUGAAAGCGCCUGGCUUAACCGGGCGAGGUCGGCGGAAACUGUUCGACUCGAGGCCGGUAGAGGGGGGUGGAAUUCCCGGUGUAGUGGUGAAAUGCGUAGAGAUCGGGAGGAACACCUGUGGCGAAGGCGGCCCCCUGGCCGGGCCUGACACUGAGACGCGAAGGCGUGGGGAGCGAACGGG
rnacentral:rRNA from 1 species